rnacentral:lncRNA from 1 species
GCUUAUUUUCUACUUUUUUCUAUUUGUUCUAACUACUCAAUAAGGAAUUUACAACUUAGCAGAUACCUGCAUGUCCACGUUUGCAAAGCAUGUGCUAGGAGCUAUGAAAAAUCUGACUUCAUAAACCUUUAUUCAGUUUGUUCUGGCAAGGAUUCCUUGCCAUAGCGGUAAUGGUGGACAAAUGAAAGAAAUGCUAAAUGAAUAAAAUGAGGCAGUAGCAUGUUUAAAUAAAGUCCUGGUUCCUGCUGACACUCCAUGUCAAGCUAUCACGGCCCUGGGCCUCACCAGUCCACUUGACAUGCCUGGAACUUCAAAGACCAGGAUCCGAGUCCCAGUCUGCUUUCAACCAGCAUUUAGUUCAGCACUCCUGUGAGAUAAGCAGUUGAUGGACUAAAUGGAUUCAGCGACUCCAUCCAUACCAGGGGCAGACAAGGUAGAGAAUUGAUUUUUAUUUAUUGGCAAAAACAAAGUCACUCUUGCAUUAAUGGUAGACAGAUAUUUCCAAGAAAUAUCCU